GGCGGGAGGCCCCCAGGGGCGCUCAGUCCGGCCGUGCCGGCGCCUUCUCUUCCCCCUGGCUUCUUCUACCUCUCUCAUCCCAGAACCCGGCGGCUCCAGUCCUCGCCGCCGCCUCCCCUCCGGUAAGCGUGAGGGUCCCCUAAGUAGCACGGCUGCAGGUGAGAACUGCCCGGUGCGCUCAGCCUGGUCGGGGCAGCGUAUUCAGAUGCCUUCGGGGAGCCAGACGUAGGAUGUAAAGGAGUCAAAACAAGGGUCAGGUGUGGACCCAAACACGUUCAGAGUGCAAAAGUGGACCCACUGUUUCCUCCUCCAAAAGCUAGCUCCCGUUGAAACGGCCCUAGGUGUAUACCCAGACAAGCAUGUGGACCUGAGUGCACUGUCCAGUAGCCAGAAGCAGCCUAAGCUGUCCCACAAGAUGUGGGCUCCCUCUGUACCGUGGAAUAGCAUUCAGCCAUGAAAAGGAGCCGAGUGCUGAAGAGCACUGCAUGGCAUUGUGCUCAAGAGGAAGAAACCAGACACAGAAGUCCACCUGUGUGCAGCAGGACAGUCCAGAGCCGCCGAACCAGGAAUCUGGAUCAGAAAUGGAGUAGCCCAACUAGAACCAGCAAUCCUGUCUGGGAUGCAGGUGCCCUGACCUCUUAAUCAUAGGGUAAGUGUAAUUUGUCUCACAGUCUGGAGGUACUCCAGCUCUGUUUGACUGUUAUAUGUGAGGUUUUUAGCUCAAAGAAUGCUGCCUCCUCAUGUGUAGGGCUGUUUUUGGAUAUUAAAUAUUGUGCUUGUCCUGGCUCCUGCCAUCGGAUCAGCGCGGUGCGCCGGCCACAGCGCGCUGGCCGCAGCGCAUCGGCCGCGGCGGCCACAGGAGGGUGAACCAACGGCAAAGGAAGACCUUUCUCUCUGUCUCUCUCUCUCACUGUCCACUCUGCCUGUCAAAAAAAAAAUAUUGUGCUUGUGAAAUUAUUUGUACAGAUUUUUAAAAAAUAUUUAUUUACUCGAAAGUCAGAGUUACAGAAAGGCAGCAGGGGCUGGGCGGGGGGUGUCUUCCAUCUGCUGGUUCACUCUCCAAAUGGCUGCAAUGGCUGGAGCUGGGCUGAUCCGAAGCCAGAAGCUAGGAGCUUCUUCCGGGUCUCCCAUGUGGGUGCUGGGACCCAAGGACUUGGGCCAUCUUCUACUGCUUCCC
rnacentral:lncRNA from 1 species